GAUGAACGCUGACAGAAUGCUUAACACAUCAGCAACUGAUUGGUGUCGGACGGGUGAGUAACGCGUAAAGAACUUACCUCACAGUUAGGGACAACAUUUGGAAACGAAUGCUAAUACAUAAUACUGUGAGAAAGCUUUGCGCCCCAUUAGCUAGUUGGAGAGGUAACGGCUCACCAAGGCGAUGAUGGGUAGCCGGCCUGAGAGGGUGAUCGGCCACAAAGGGACUGGGAAGCGGGCCUUACUCCGACGGGAGGCAGCAGUGGGGAAUAUUGGACGAUGGACCAAAGUCUGAUCCAGGAAUUCUGUGUGCACGAUGAAGUUUUCGGAAUGUACAGUGCUUUCAGUUGGGAAGCGGUACCAACAGAAGAAGUCACGGCUAAAUACGUGCCAGCAGCCGCGGUAAUAC
rnacentral:rRNA from 1 species